rnacentral:rRNA from 1 species
AUGAUGCUGGUGCUUGCACUGGUGGAUUAGUGGCGAACGGGUGAGUAACACGUGAGUAACCUGCCCCUGACUUCGGGAUAAGCCCGGGAAACUGGGUCUAAUACCGGAUAUGACUUCCUGCUGCAUGGCAGGGGGUGGAAAGAUUUAUCGGUUGGGGAUGGACUCGCGGCCUAUCAGCUUGUUGGUGAGGUAAUGGCUCACCAAGGCGACAACGGGUAGCCGGCCUGAGAGGGUCACCGGCCACACUGGGACUGAGACACGGGCCGGACUCCUACAUGAGGCAGCAUUGGGGAGUAUUGCACAAUGGGCGAAAGCCUGAUGCAGCGACGCCGCGUGAGGGAGGAAGGCCCUCGGGUUGUAAAAUUCUUUCAGUAGGGAAGAAGCCCCUUUUUGGGGUGACGGUACUUGCAGAAGAAGCGCCCGCUAACUACCUGCCAACAGCCGCGG